rnacentral:rRNA from 1 species
AUUGAACGCUGGCGGCAUGCUUUACACAUGCAAGUCGAACGGCAGCGCGGGCUUCGGCCUGGCGGCGAGUGGCGAACGGGUGAGUAAUGCAUCGGAACGUGCCCAGUAGUGGGGGAUAGCCCGGCGAAAGCCGGAUUAAUACCGCAUACGACCUGAGGGUGAAAGCGGGGGACCGAAAGGCCUCGCGCUAUUGGAGCGGCCGAUGUCGGAUUAGCUAGUUGGUGGGGUAAAGGCUUACCAAGGCGACGAUCCGUAGCUGGUCUGAGAGGACGACCAGCCACACUGGGACUGAGACACGGCCCAGGCUCCUACGGGAGGCAGCAGUGGGGAAUUUUGGACAAUGGGGGCAACCCUGAUCCAGCCAUGCCGCGUGCGGGAAGAAGGCCUUCGGGUUGUAAACCGCUUUUGUUAGGGAAGAAAUCCUCUGGGCUAAUACCCCGGGGGGAUGACGGUACCGGAAGAAUAAGCACCGGCUAACUACGUG